ensembl:lncRNA
CAACACUGUAACGGACUGGCAAUUGUUAACCAGAUAUAUGAAGUCUGUAUUGCAUUGACCCUUUUUUUUUGUACAGAGCAGCUAAAGGACUUUUAUUAUGAAAUUAACUUAAUGCGCAAAUUGGACCUGUAUAAAGAGCGACACAUUUCCGCUGUUUGUGUGUGUGCGCUUUGUGAAGGACGCAGCCUGCAGUUUGACGUCUUUUUCUUCCUUUUAUUGUACUUGUGCGUCUCACUGAAAAGGGAAAUAAGUUCUUACGGUGUCUACUUGAAUGUCAACGUAUUAAACAUUUUUGGAAACAUCAGUUAAGGAGCAAAAGACCAUCAUUUCAGUGGGGUAGCAACAGUAAGAACUUAUCCAUUCGUCGUCGAAGCCUGCUGCAUUGAUGACCGGUGUCCACGUUGACGGGUCUUUAAGGAGUGAGUGUUCACGUGCAGAGGAUCGAUUUCUGAUGGUUGAACUAGUUUCGUUUAUGAAUCACAACGGUUGAAACGGAGGAUUAAUCGACACACUACGGACUGUGAAAGGCUGUGUUCUUCAGGUGACGUUUAUUCUUCGACACACGUUUACAACAGCAAACGGAUAGCAAGGUGAAACACUUGAUCAUUACAAGACUUUCCCUUCAAGGUUCAAAAGAAAAGGGUUUGAACAUUUUUAUAGUGACCUUGAAAGAGAUUGUUAAAUCGUUUGUUGUUUUGAAGAUAAUAUAUUUGUGUUUUAAGAAAUACGUUUAUUCAAAAAGGGAUAUUUUUUUACUGUUGUUUCUAAUGUUUGAGACCAUCAUUUAUGCUGUUUGUGACUUGAAAUCACCUUAUUAUAGUGCUGGAAAUAUUUUAUAGUUGUGCUAAUUAGUUCAUUUUAAAAUGACAGCGUUAAAUUCAUCCUUUGAUAAUGUAGAAGGUGAAAGGCAGGUUAAUAUUCUCCAACACGAUAUUGAAACCCUUAACAAUGAGUAUCAAACAUCAGCAGGUAGUUUAGAGCGAGAACAGAUAAUAGAGACAAUUGAGGCUAAAGAACAGAUUUUGAGUGAACUUAAGUGUAAACUUCAAGAAACUUUAGAAGAAUCUCAAGCUCCACGACGUUCUGUUCGUCCACGUAAUCUUACUCCAAAAAUGCUUGCAUUACAAAAGGAAGAAAUUCAAAGGAAAGAAAGAAAGCUUCUUUCCAUGUAUGAAAAAUGGAAAAUGUUAGCACGUAAGGCCAGAGAUCAACUCAAAUCUGAUAUCACUGAGAGCCAGAUAGCAUCUCUUAUUGAUAUUUUGGAAGAAGGAAAGGAGAAUGUUAUGCAGCUCUAUGUUGAAGUUAGAGAUCAUGUUACACCAUCUACUGAAUUGAGACGACGUAUCGAUGCUUGUGAGGCAGUGACAACAGAUAUAAUUAAGGUCGCCUAUGAAAGAAUAUCAGGCAUUGAUGAGUUUGAUUCAGAACAAGCAAAACAUCGCUUAAGGGAAUUACUCGAAUCUAGUUAUGCUCGUUCUAUCUAUGGCUCCACUGUCACCCGAAUUAGUCACAGGUCUACUACUCAGUUAAGUCAUCAUACUGUAUCUUCACUUGGAACUUCAAAACAAGCUGAAGCAGCUGCAGAGCUGGCUGCAAAGGAAGUUGAGUAUAAUAUACUAAUGGAGGAAAAUAAACAGAAGGAGAAGAUUCAAGAAUUAAGAGACAAACAAGAGAGAGACUUGAAUGUGCAAAAACGUGAAUUGGAGAAGUUACAGGCAGAAAAGGAUUUAAGAGUAGCACAAGCUAGGUUUGAGGCCUAUAAUCGGAUGGCAGUGCAAGAAGUUGACACAAAUCCUGCAACAAACUACAUUGUUGGAGAACAGCAUUGCUUGCCUCAGAUUUCUUCUAGCCAACCUGCAAAUAAAUUAAUUUCCUCAUCUCAAAAUGAACUGCCUUCUCUCAUUCAAGCCAUGCAAGAUAGUAUAAAUUUGAACAGACUGCCAGCUCCAGAGCCUUUUGUAUUUAAUGGUGAUCCCAUUCAGUAUGUUGAGUGGAAGGCUUCCUUUAUGUCACUGAUUGAUCGAAAGAGUAUAUCUGCUGCUGACAAACUUUAUUAUCUGAAAAGGUAUGUGGGUGGAUCGGCACACAAAGCCUUGAAUGGCACCUUCUACAGGAGUGACAACGAAGCAUAUACGGAUGCCUGGAGCAGAUUAGAUCAAAGGUAUGGUCAACCAUUUGUGAUACAACGUGCCUUUCGACAGAAGCUUGCAAACUGGCCUAAAAUUCAGUCAAGGGAUGCUGUUGGACUCCGAGAGUUUUCAGAUUUUCUGAAUGCAUGUCAAGAUGCCAUGGCUCAUGUUGCAAAUCUACAAAUUUUAAAUGACUGCGAGGAAAACCAAAGGUUAGUUCAAAAACUUCCUGAAUGGGCUGCUUCACGUUGGAAUCGACAGGUUACACAAACCUUGAGAGACCAUAAGGAUUUCCCCGAUUUUAAGGCCUUUGCAGCAUUUGUUUCAUUAGAGGCAGAGAUUGGUUGUAAUCCGGUCACGUCAUCUUAUGCUCUCAGUUUAGUAUCUGCUGAGAAACGAAAUUCUAGAGAGUCUAAAGGAAAUAAGGUUAAUGUCCUUAAUACUCAAACCGACAUGGGGCAUGAUAGACAAAGGAGUAUAAAGAAAAAUACUAAACCUCCCUGUGUGUUUUGUCAAGAUCCUAAACAUCAGCUUUACGACUGUUCCAAACUGAUGGCCAAGACACUAGUAGAACGGCGGGAAUAUGUGAAGGAAAAUAAUAUUUGUUAUGGAUGCCUGAAGAUUGGACAUAGGGUUAGAGAUUGUCGCCAUCGUCUUUUCUGUAACACAUGCAAAGGGAAACAUCCUACUUGCUUUCAUGAUGACAAUUACAUCAAAGGAGAACGGUCAGUCCCUGUAACAUCAUCUGAUUCAAGGUCUGAUGACUCGACAGC